rnacentral:rRNA from 1 species
CCCUUAGUAACGGCGAGUGAACAGGGAUGAGCCCAGCACCGAAGCCUGUGGCCGKYYGGUCACAAGGCAAUGUGGUGUUUAGGUCGUUCCGCAGAAGCACUGUUCCACUCAAAGUCCGGCAUUGAGCACGGUAGUACGGACAUGGCCCACAGAGGGUGAAAGGCCCGUGGGGGUGGAAGUCAGAUAGUCAGUGUUUUUCUGGGUAGACCUUGGAGUCGGGUUGUUUGUGAAUGCAGCCCAAAGCGGGUGGUAAACUCCAUCCAAGGCUAAAUACUUACACGAGUCCGAUAGCAAACAAGUACCGUGAGGGAAAGUUGAAAAGUACUUUGAAGAGAGAGUAAACAGUGCGUGAAACCGUUCAGAGGUUAAACAGAUAGAGUUGAACUAUGUACUUUGAGAAUUCCGCUGGUAAGUAUAGUUUGGACUUGGCCAAACUGGUUGAACCUCAUGGUCUGUCUAACGACAGGUUCCCUACGGGGUAUGUGCGAUGCACUUACCAUGUGUUGCACACCGUGAGCGUCUUCAAACCAACUUGCCAGUGCUUCUUCUCAUUGGGUUCACCAGGACAGGCGCUGCUGCCUGGCUGUUUCGGUUAAACCGUUCAUGUAUUGUCCCUGUGACUUUAUUUGUUCGGGAUGGCAGGUAGCUCAUUAGUCGGCUUACUUGUAAGUUUAGACUUUUGAGUGUAAUCAGCUGACCGACGCAGUUCUGUGCAGUGCGUCUGAGACGGCGGCUGAGGUGCAUUACUUCCGCAUUGGUUGGCCUGUCUGGGUUUGGCUACCAUGCUGUCUGACUUGUCAGGCCUGGUAGUAGCCUAGGUUUGUCCAACCUGCGCAAGUAUUGCUCCUUACCAAGGGCCUAAAGUCUCUGGUGUUGUAGUAUAUUAUCUAUCUGACCCGUCUUGAAACACGGACCAAGGAGAGUAACAUGUGCGCGAGUUAUUGAGAAUUACGAAACUCAUAAGCGCAGUGAAAGUAAAGAUUUGGCUUGUCCAAAUUGUGGUGAGAUCUUGCCUUUUCUCAUAAUUGGUGCUACCAAGAAAUGAAGGGUGAGCGCAUCACCGGCCCGUCCCAUGACAAUUGCUUUCGGGCAACUAUCAGUCAGGGCGGAGCAUGAGCGUACAUGUUGAGACCCGAAAGAUGGUGAACUAUGCUUGCGCAGGUUGAAGCCAGAGGAAACUCUGGUGGAGGACCGCAGCGGUUCUGACGUGCAAAUCGAUCGCCAG